GUGUCAGCAGCCGCGGUAAUACGGAGGGUGCGAGCGUUGUCCGGAUUUAUUGGGUUUAAAGGGUGCGUAGGUGGCUUGUUAAGUCAGUGGUGAAAUACAGCCGCUCAACGGUUGAGGUGCCAUUGAUACUGACAAGCUUGAAACAAGUGGAGGUUGCCGGAAUGGAUGGUGUAGCGGUGAAAUGCAUAGAUAUCAUCCAGAACACCGAUUGCGAAGGCAGGUGACUACGUUUGAUUUGACACUGAGGCACGAAAGCAUGGGGAGCAAACAGGAUUAGAUACCCUCGUAGUCC
rnacentral:rRNA from 1 species